UACGUAGGGUGCAAGCGUUGUCCGGAAUUAUUGGGCGUAAAGGGCUCGUAGGCGGUCUGUCACGUCGGGAGUGAAAACUCGGGGCUUAACCCUGAGCCUGCUUCCGAUACGGGCAGACUAGAGGUAUGCAGGGGAGAACGGAAUUCCUGGUGUAGCGGUGAAAUGCGCAGAUAUCAGGAGGAACACCGGUGGCGAAGGCGGUUCUCUGGGCAUUACCUGACGCUGAGGAGCGAAAGUGUGGGGAGCGAACAGG
rnacentral:rRNA from 1 species